AGAAUUUGAUCUUGGUUCAGGACGAACGCUGGCGGCGUGCUUAACACAUGCAAGUCGAGCGAUGAAGCUUCUUCGGAAGUGGAUUAGCGGCGGACGGGUGAGUAACACGUGGGUAACCUGCCUCAUAGAGGGGAAUAGCCUUCCGAAAGGAAGAUUAAUACCGCAUAAGAUUGUAAUAUCGCAUGAUAUAGCAAUUAAAGGAGUAAUCCGCUAUGAGAUGGACCCCGCGUCGCAUUAGCUAGUUGGUGAGGUAACGGCUCACCAAGGCGACGAUGCGUAGCCGACCUGAGAGGGUGAUCGGCCACAUUGGGACUGAGACACGGCCCAGACUCCUACGGGAGGCAGCAGUGGGGAAUAUUGCACAAUGGGGGAAACCCUGAUGCAGACCAACGCCGCGUGAGUGAUGACGGUCUUCGGAUUGUAAAGCUCUGUCUUCGAGGGACGAUAAUGACGGUACCUGAGGAGGAAGCCACGGCUAACUACGUGCCAGCAGCGGC
rnacentral:rRNA from 1 species